UUAGCCAAUUCUUUCGCAGGAUUUUACAUAAACUGUAGAUGCCGUUCGUUAUGAAGCAAUGAUUGUAGUUCUCUCCAGAAAGUAGCAGUACCUCAAAGAAUUGUAAAAGUGCCUUUUCUUUUCCACCGCAAAAAGAUUACUUGUUCAUUUGUGACAAUGAAUUGUCAAUUGUCAUGAGUGCUCUCCACAAUCAAGAGGUCAAAAUAUGAUUUUUUUCAUAAUGCCUCUUGAUGAUGUUAGGUAGAACUGGUCCACAUAGGUCAUUAACGAGGGUUGCAGUUUAUCAUAGGACUGCAAGGAUAUUACAAUUUAGGAACAUAAAAACUCCAGAUUCCAUAUGUUACAAAACAUUGGUUGUAUCAGUGCUCUUGCACUCUGGAAAGUGGUAAUACCCGAAGUUUGAGGAAGGUGUGAAGGUGCCUUUUACCGUUGGGAACUAAGAAAGUGUGCUGUAGCAGAAGGAAAGAUUUAUGACAAUGAACUGAUUAGUCAACAAUUGAGAGAGAUUUGAACUUAUAUCCUUUGCUUACUGAAAAGAUAAGUCGUCUCCUAUGGUGUUUUAGCUGUUAACCUUUCAUCUUGGAGGCUCUUGUGGUUAAUUAAGGAACAUUAGAAGAGCUCCGGAUACCAUUAAAUUAUGAGAUUUUGGAGCAUUGGUUGUAAUAGUCCUCAUUUGCCCCCGGAAAGUAGCUGUGCCUAUGGUUCUAAAGUAAGCAUGAAAGUACCUUCUUUUUUAUUGGGAACGAAGACAGUGUGCUGAAAAAAGGAUUUAUGACAAUCAACUGAUUGUUGUCCCACAAAUGAGAAGGAAUUGCAGUUAAUUUU